UGAUAGCGAAGAUUCAGGAGGUUGUUGCUGAAAGGUGGAUUUCUGAGGAGCGAAUGUUCGGUUAAGAAACGGGACGACGA
rfam:Epulopiscium sp. SCG-B11WGA-EpuloA1 SCGB11WGA_58, whole genome shotgun sequence.